CGCUUUCAGUACCACUGAGCAUUACAACGGCCAGCAUAAUCAAAAGAUACAUUUGACAAUUCAUAGAACAGCGCAUUCCUGUACAUUCACCCAUUCUUAAACUCACAGAACACGGAGUGAAAAUAGUGUUUUUGUUUAAUCAACAAAGAUCAAGUAAUGCGAACCACCGUAUAACGUCCACGUAUAUAUUUGUUGCAUUCCUGUUUAUGGCUUGUUAUGGCUUGAAAGCAAUCAAGUCAAUAUUGAAAAUUGAUCCAUGAGUAUCAGCUCGCGGUUGACCUUAGAUGUUUCGUUUCAGCUGCAUCGGAGCGACAGAAGUAUUUUAAGACUAGACAUUUUAACUGUUG
rnacentral:lncRNA from 1 species